CCGUGUACGUACAAGCAGUGGGAGCACAGGUUUACCUGUGUGACUGCGUACCUUUUGUAUAAUGGGUCAGCGACUUAUAUUCUGUAGCAAGGUUAACCGUAUAGGGGAGCCGGAGGGAAACCGAGUCUUAAUUGGGCGUUAAGUUGCAGGGUAUAGACCCGAAACCCGGUGAUCUAGCCAUGGGCAGGUUGAAGGUUGGGUAACACUAACUGGAGGACCGAACCGACUAAUGUUGAAAAAUUAGCGGAUGACCUGUGGCUGGGGGUGAAAGGCCAAUCAAACCGGGAGAUAGCUGGUUCUCCCCGAAAGCUAUUUAGGUAGCGCCUCGUGAAUUCAUCUCCGGGGGUAGAGCACUGUUUCGGCUAGGGGGCCAUCCCGGCUUACCAACCCGAUGCAAACUGCGAAUACCGGAGAAUGUUAUCACGGGAGACACACGGCGGGUGCUAACGUCCGUCGUGAAGAGGGAAACAACCCAGACCGCCAGCUAAGGUCCCAAAGUCAUGGUUAAGUGGGAAACGAUGUGGGAAGGCCCAGACAGCCAGGAUGUUGGCUUAGAAGCAGCCAUCAUUUAAAGAAAGCGUAAUAGCUCACUGGUCGAGUCGGCCUGCGCGGAAGAUGUAACGGGGCUAAACCAUGCACCGAAGCUGCGGCAGCGACGCUGUGCGUUGUUGGGUAGGGGAGCGUUCUGUAAGCCUGCGAAGGUGGCCUGUGAGGGUUGCUGGAGGUAUCAGAAGUGCGAAUGCUGACAUAAGUAACGAUAAAGCGGGUGAAAAGCCCGCUCGCCGGAAGACCAAGGGUUCCUGUCCAACGUUAAU
rnacentral:rRNA from 1 species